UGUUUCAGGCAUUGGUCACAACAGAGUUGGAAGGCGGUGACAGGCAGAGGGCCAUGAAGAGACUGAGGGUCCCCCCCCUGGGAGCUGCACAGCCGGCUCCUGCCUGGACCACCUUCAGAGUGGGGCUGUACUGUGGAGUGUUCCUGGUGCUGAUGGUCACAGUGGUCAUUACAGGGGCUGUGGUGAUCCGCACGGCUGAUGUUUGGCCUAUGAUCAGGAUCUACAGAGGAGGCUUCCUGUUGAUAGAAUUCCUCUUCCUGCUAGGUAUUCACAC